GCGUAACGCGUGGGAAUCUGCCCUAGGGUUCGGAAUAACUUCGGGAAAAGGGAGCUAAUGCCGGAUGGUGACGUAAGUCCAAAGAUUUAUCGCACAGGGAUGAGCCCGCGUAGGAUUAGCUAGUUGGUGGGGUAAAGGCCUACCAAGGCGACGAUCCUUAGGUGGUUUGAGAGGAUGAUCAGCCACACUGGGACUGAGACCCGGCCCAGACUCCUUCGGGAGGCAGCAGUAGGGAAUAUUGGACAAUGGGCGAAAGCCUGAUCCAGCAAUGCCGCGUGAGUGAUGAAGGCCUUAGGGUUGUAA
rnacentral:rRNA from 1 species